rnacentral:lncRNA from 1 species
AUGGAUAACAUACAAGAUAUCACACAACUGAUAUACACAUUCAAAGUUGAAGCUUUUCCUCAGGAAAUAAUACAUGAGAUCCUAUUUAGGCUACCAGUUAAAUCUUUGAUCAAUUGCACCUCAGUGUGCAAGCCAUGGAGGUCCAUGAUCAUGAACCAAAGUUUUAUCCAAACUCACUUCAGCCAUACAGUCGACUUUGCUAAUCAGAAGGACAUUGACCUCCUCCUAUUCCACAGAAUUUCUGGUAGUGGGCGCACCAUCUACUGCCACAACACAGUCAUUCACAAGGUAGAAGUCGAGGUUCACUCUUUGCAUUAUGAUAAUAAGGCUUUUGAUGUGCACUUCAAGAUAGAAUUUCCAAUUGCUCCAAAGAAAAAACUGCUCAAUCCAC